rnacentral:rRNA from 1 species
CAGCGCCACGAGUGGCAAUCGUGUAUUUGGCCUAAAGCGUCCGUAGCCGGAUUUGUAAAUCUUUUGUGAAAUCGUUGAGCUCAACUUAACGGCGUGCAGAAGACACUGCAGAUCUCGAGACCGGGAGGAGAUAGAGGUAUUCUAGGGGGAGCGGUAAAAUGCUAUAAUCCCUGGAGGACCACCAGUGGCGAAGGCGUCUGUCCAGAACGGAUCUGACGGUGAGGGACGAAAGCCAGGGGAGCGAACCGGAUUAGAUACCCGCGUAGUCC